UGCUUUUUAGAUUUCAAAUCCUUUGUCCAUGUUAGAUGCUUUCUAGCUGAUGAAUCUGGACUGACUUCUAACUUGGCAUUUCUGCAGGCAAUGAACGGUCAAUAUCUUUGCAAUCGUCAAAUUACGACGUCCUAUGCCUACAAGAAAGAUACAAAGGGGGAACGUCAUGAAAUCCCUGCUGGUAAGAAUUUGUGUUUAAGAAAAAUGAAGUUGAGAACGCUAGGAAAUGGAUACUUGUCUUUGAUCAAGAUUGUUGAACUCUGUUUUACUUAUGCGAUCAUAAUUUGGAUAUGUAAGUUGAAUUUUAAGUAGUGAUUUGGAAUCAUAAGUUUAUAGUAUGAGUACUUUGGAAAUUCUUCAAAGUGGGUAACAAGGGAACGCAUGAGGUGGUUUAUUAAAAUGCACAAGUUGCUAUUGCACGUCCUUUGAUAACUAAAAUACCGUAAGCAAAUCUCGAGCAUAAUUGUAUUACCAUAUUCUACAUAAGUAGUGUUUCUUUUGUUGAGAGUAGUAACCUAGCAUUAAAUCGAAAUAUCAUCGACUAUUAUUGCAGAUGUCAUGAGACCAAUUUGGUCCUUGUGUAGUAACCCAUAUGAAAGAGAGAACAAUAUAGCUGAUUUUUAGCAGGGAAGGUGCUUGUGCAAUAAGUGUUACAUGUAUAGAGAAGAUAUGAAAAGAAAAAACCACCCACCACCCCACCUGUAUCACUUUUAGGUAGCUUACAACUUUGGAACAUGUUUUAACUCAUUUAAUUAAAAAUGGACAAUGCCAUACUCAACAAGCAGUUAUUGUUAAUUUGUUAUGAUGGAAUAACUUGAACGUCACAAAGUUGAAGAGGAUGGUGUAAAAAACUAUUCAUUCAUUCAGUUGGUGGUCCAUUUGAUGUUUUGAAGGUAGAGAAAAACACAUCAGUAAAAUCAAAUUGAAAUUUGUAUGAUGAUGUCUCUUUGGUGUUCCAGACCUCCUUACUUGUGGUAUGACACGGGGUAUGUUGUUGUUUUCUAUUUCGUGCGCGUCCAAGUCUUUCUGAUGUGGAAAUUGAAAAUUCUGACGGAUGGAGUAAGUUCGGGUCACUCUUCCCUAACCGUGCCCCAAAGGGUUGGUGCUACUCUUGAACUACAUUGGGGGAGCAACAAAUACUGAAAUUUUGUCUAAGGUAAGGCACUUAAAUUGAAUACAACUUAAAGUGCCGGCAAUAUUAUUUUUUCAUAAUGAAUAUUCAUGGCCUGGCCAGUUGAGGCAUUAGCUGAAAUUCCUAUAGUAACAAAUAUUAAACUCAUUUGACAGUAUCCCAAAUGGUUUCUGGUUGUUUAUUGUUCUUAUGGAUUUAAAUACGUUGAUUUCUUGCAGCAAUGAACAGAAUGUUUUUGGUGUUGCUCUCUUUAGAUUAAUGAUCAAGUUGAUUUGGAUUACAAAGCUGUUUCUACUUACAUAGCCACGUGAUAGAAGGUGCUUGACAAUAAUCGUAAUUUUAUUGAAGUUGUAGUCAGCUAUAACUGUAAAAUCAAAUCUUUGUAGAAUAACCAUCAUUAAUAGUAUUUAACGUUACUGAUUUAAUUGAAAAAUGAAUUAAAUGAUGUAAAAUUAUUUCAAAAAUCAAAUAAGCUUUAAUUAGAGGAACUGGCUCUAAUUGCACUUAAAUCUACAGUCACGACUUUGUCAUUGAUAUGUGAUACCAUUCCGGGUAAGCCGGUGAGGCACCCUGCUUUAAUUUAGCCAGUUCCUUUGAUUACAAUUAUUACCCAAAAGAAAAGAAACUUUCACAUGCUCUACAUGUUUUGAAGAUUAAAAGCAUAAUAGGAUCAGUAAUGUCUUUUUAUUUUUGAGAAGUAUAUUUUGUUGACAUACCUUUAACUACCUUGCAUGUAUGCCUUUAUGCUCUUUGUUGAAGAAUUUCCUAUCAACUUAUGUGAGUGAGCUCCUUCACUAAUUGAAUAAUUGCACAUUAAAUGCUGGAAAAAUGGAAUAAUACUAAGACAUUUCCUCCCAUAUAGCCUUAAAACUGUUGUAACACCAUUGAAUUUUUGAAAAUUUUUGAGCUGGUAUUUCAAGAUAUCCUCCACAUGAUAAUGCUGUCAAAACUUUCUUACUGCUCCUCUACUACUUCAAUAGUAAAUUGCAAGUUUGCAACUUUUCUUUAUUAUUUUGAUAUGUUUAAACUACAACCUUCUGUUAAAGUAGGUAAGAUGGAAGUAACAAGAAUGUACAAAAGUCACUGGACGUAGCUUCUUUAUGCACUUAUCUAUAAGGUCCAGAUAUUGUCUACAUCAAUUACGAUAUUCAUUGUACACAAAAAGUAUAUCUAAUCCUCAUAUAAUGUAUGCUCAGUUUUUCUAUCAAAAUCACCAUAUGAAGUGCCACUGGGUGAAGAGGAAUAGCCGCCACCUCAAUUUCAACUUUUGUUGUUUUGGAUAUCUUGAUCUGAUAAUAUUGUGCACCUUAUCUAUAAGAUUUUCGUAACUUAGUAGUGGUUCAGAACAUUUCAGUAUCUAUUAAUUGAAGUAUCUUUUAUUUCAGACUUUCUAUGAAAUAAUCCUAUGAGUACUAAUCCUACAUCUUUUUAAUCUUUUGUAACAGAUUUCAAUCUUAUCAUCAACAAUCAAAAUAAUCGAUCACACAACACAUCAUACUUUCUUAUCAUGUGGAGGAAAAACUAUUUUGUAAAACUUUCCUCCUUAUCGAGUACCGUCAAAUAGUUAUUAUAUAAAAUAUUAUCAUUUUAAGUUAAUGUACAUUUUAUAUUUACAUUUCGUGUCUUAGGAUGCAUCUCAUCAGUGUCAAAUUUUGACGCUCAAAAUAUCUAUAAUAUUGGGUUCAUGCUGACACGGGUUAUGCACCUCUAGUAUAUAUAUAUAUAUAUAUACUAGUUACUAAUAACUCAUGCAAACCAC
rnacentral:lncRNA from 1 species